GCACCCGUAGCUCAGCUGGAUAGAGCGUUGGCCUCCGAAGCCAAAGGUCUGUGGUUCGAAUCCACACGGGUGCGCCA
rnacentral:tRNA from 1 species